CUCCAACCCGAAUGCAUAACUCCGGAGCGCAUCGCCCGAGGGGGAGCGACCGCCCUCGAGCACGGAACUCAACAGCAAGUAUGAGCAUAUCCUUAACUCAAAGGAUUAUAGUUCAAUCUUGACUUUACACUAGCUCUAGUGUUCUUUACAUCACUUUAUGUUGCAAACUCAUGCAAUUACAUUCUUUACACUUCUUUACUCUUGCUAACUCUAGCAUUCUUGUUCUUAUUACCCACUUUACUUUAGCUUUACACGUCGUCAUUUUCAUCAUUCUUUACAUCACUUUAAUUCUUUACUUCACACUAACUCUAGUGUCAUUUUUCAUUAGCUUCACCGAAUGCCACUCGAUCUAUGUCAUU
rnacentral:lncRNA from 1 species